rnacentral:rRNA from 1 species
UACAGAGGGUGCGAGCGUUAAUCGGAGUGACUGGGCGUAAAGGGCGCGUAGGCGGUUAGAUUAGUCUGAUGUGAAAGCCCUGGGCUUAACCUGGGAUGUGCAUUGGAGACGGUCUGGCUAGAGUUUGAGAGAGGGAAGUGGAAUUUCCGGUGUAGCGGUGAAAUGCGUAGAGAUCGGAAAGAACACUCGUGGCGAAGGCGACUUUCUGGCUCAAAACUGACGCUGAGGCGCGAAAGCGUGGGGAGCAAACAGG